rnacentral:rRNA from 1 species
CGGACGGGUGAGUAAUGCAUAGGAAUCUACCCAGUAGUGGGGGAUAUCUUGGAGAAAUUCAAGUUAAUACCGCAUAUGUCCUACGGGGCAAAGCAGGGGACCUUCGGGCCUUGUGCUAUUGGAUGAGCCUAUGUCGGAUUAGCUAGUUGGUAGGGUAAAGGCCUACCAAGGCGACGAUCCGUAGCUGGUUUGAGAGGAUGAUCAGCCACACUGGAACUGAGACACGGCCCAG